rnacentral:lncRNA from 12 species
AACAAAAUAAGUUUAUUUCCUCAUGGUUUGAGAGUCCAAAAGUCUGAAAUCAAAGUGUCAGCAGGGCUGUGCUCUCCCUGAAGGCUCAAAGGGAUCAUUGGUUCUGUGCUUUUCUCUUAGCAUGUAUUUGUGACAGUCCUUGGCUUGUGUGUGCAUCAUUCCUGUCUCUGUCGCCUCAUCCCAUGGCCUCAUCCCCCAUGUCUAUCUGCAUGUCCUUUCCUGUCUCUUACAAAGAUUUCAUGGAAUUAGGGCCCACCUCCAUCCAGCACGAUCUCAUCUCCAUCCUCACCUUAAAUUUUGCAAAGAUACUAUUUCCAAAGGAAUCAUAUCAGAUCUGGAGGUUCUGAAUGGGGGGAGGGGGGGGAGGAGGGACUCUUCAACCCACCGCACUCUCUUCCUGUUGCAGUUCCUGUUUGUGAUUAUCACGUGUCUGUGUCAGGUGAUGGUCCUGUCCCUAAGAGUGAGGCUAUCUUCAUUCUGGACCAUCAGCCACUGGUGCCAAGCCCCUCAAGCAAGAACUCCAAGCACAUAUCCAUUAGUUUUUCGUUGUUCUGAAAUGAACAACAAGGAACAAGACAGCAAGGAACGGUAGCAGAGAACAAGACAGCAAGGAACGGUAGCAGAGAAAUUGAUUUUUCCCUGGCUAUGUCAAAAUAUAAUUCACAGAGCACACAACUCACACUGCUGAAGUACGCAAUUCCGUGAUUUUCAGCCUCCUCAGUGACAUGGGAGGCCAUCACCACACUCAGUGGUGGAAAUUUUCUUUAGUGGUUUGUGCUCGCUGUCUCUACCCGUUUUCCUGUGGCCCUGCAUCUGGGCAUCUGCCUCUUGUGGACACUUUGUACUGAGGGGGUCACUCUUAGAGGUCCUUGGUGUCUGGCUUUUUUCACUUAGCAAAACAUUUUCAAGAUCCAUGCUGUCAGCAUGUGUCCUUACCUUGUUCCUUUUUACCCACCAUAUAAUACUCCACCGAGCAAACCAUUCCACUAACUUUUUUAAAUCUCAGAAUUUGCACAGCAGCUGUGAAAAUAGCAACUCUAUUGUAUUUGCCCAGCACCUACCACUUCUCUAGAUUCUCAGUCUCCUUUUUGGGUGGCCAGCCAGGACCUCCCCAUUCAUUCUCCCCUCAAUAUGAGCUUUUCAGAUACAACAGCUCACAUUUCACCUUUGGCUGUGGAUUCGAGUCCAGACAAGUGGACUGAAUUCAUCAUCAUCAUCAUCAUCAUCAGACGUUUGGGGUCUUGCUGUUCAUUGAACCUGCCCCUGUGCUAUAGCUGUCAGUCUUUGGGAGGAAAAUAGGAUGAGGGACACAGAGUAUGGGCGGUCAGAGAAACAGCUGCACCUGAGAGAAGGCAAGGUGGUCAGGCGAGAGCAAUAUGUGAGGAGAUGUGUGCCACCUCCUUCAGGAAGACUUUCCCAACUGUCCUUGUCCAUAGUGACCUGGGAAUCUCAAUAACUGAGACUCAAAUAUCGACUGAGUCAUCUGCAUGCCUUGGGCAAUUUACUUCCCUUCUCUAUACCCCAGUUUCCUUAUUUGUCAUCCACAUCACAUUUUCCAGACUUGACCACAGCAGUAUGCAUCCAUCGUGCAU